AUGAUGCCUUCGAGGUCCGUGCAUGUUGUCCCAAAUGUCCAUAGCAAGCUGGCAGUCUUGGAAAGUAGGUGUGGUCUGCAGAGCUGGCCUCCUUGGCUAGACUCCUGGAUGGAGUCCAAGAACAGCCAGAGGACAUCUAAAUUUGGGGUAAAUCUGAAGCUGUGGUCGCCAAUCCUUGUUUCAGUACUAAUGCUGACCUUCGGAUACCCGCUGCAAAGCCCUGUUGGAGAAAAACACACCUUUUUUUUCCUUGGCAUCGCUAGGUAAGUUCUCCCCUUGCUGGACCCACCCUCCACCCCCUCUCCUGCCUCCUCCAAGGUUUGCUCAUCCUGCCUGCUGACAUCAAGGCCUGGGUAACGCCCUUCCAUCUCACUAAGACUCAGAGUCUCAGUUUGUGAAAUUAGGGAGUGGACUCUGGAAUGAUGCUUCAGGUGUACUCAGAGAUGAGGGAGAAAUAAAGAGCUCCUGAGAAUUAAGCUUGAAAAAUGCCCAAUGGAGGCGAUUGCAGCUGGAAUCUGGAAACCCCAAAGCUGCCUGUAAACCUGUGACAGAUUUGGAAACGCUCAAGAGCACAAAACUCCCACCGGACAGAAAGGUGGGGGAGGAAGUAGUAAACAGCUUGCAAACUGGAGCCGCAGGUGAGGGAUGCCUGGGGGCAGCUGACUCCACCUGGCCAUCCCUCCCUUCGACCCUGCCUCAGAAGCGGGCAGGUGCCCACCCAACCCCUUGUGCCUCCCUCAGGGGGUGGGCAACAGCCGGG
rnacentral:lncRNA from 1 species